UACGGAGGGGGCUAGCGUUGUUCGGAAUUACUGGGCGUAAAGGGCUCGUAGGCGGCCAACUAAGUCAGACGUGAAAUCCCUCGGCUUAACCGGGGAACUGCGUGUGAUACUGGAUGGCUUGGAUUUGGGAGAGGGAUGCGGAAUUCCAGGUGUAGCGGUGAAAUGCGUAGAUAUCUGGAGGAACACCGGUGGCGAAGGCGGCGUUCUGGACUGCAACUGACACUGAGGAACGAAAGCCAGGGGAGCAAACGGG
rnacentral:rRNA from 1 species